CACCCCAACCUUUUUGUUUGCCAUAUUUUAGGGGUUGUUGCCUUGAUAACGAUAGCAGUACCCAAAAUAAUAACCUUAUAUGCGUCUGAUAGUUAAUUAAAGUUGUAUACAAAAAAUAAAAUAAAAAAUAAAAUCUAAUUCAAGUUUGGCACUCGUGACCCGGCUUUGGAACGUGCUUUUCCAGAGCAUCAAUAGACUAGACU
rnacentral:lncRNA from 1 species